rnacentral:rRNA from 1 species
AUUGAACGCUGGCGGCAGGCCUAACACAUGCAAGUCGAGCGGAUGAAGGGAGCUUGCUCCUGGAUUCAGCGGCGGACGGGUGAGUAAUGCCUACGAAUCUGCCUGGUAGUGGGGGAUAACGUCCGGAAACGGGCGCUAAUACCGCAUACGUCCUGAGGGAGAAAGUGGGGGUUCUUCGGACCUCACGCUAUCAGAUGAGCCUAGGUCGGAUUAGCUAGUUGGUGGGGUAAAGGCCUACCAAGGCGACGAUCCGUAACUGGUCUGAGAGGAUGAUCAGUCACACUGGAACUGAGACACGGUCCAGACUCCUACGAGAGGCAGCAGUGGGGAAUAUUGGACAAUGGGCGAAAGCCUGAUCCAGCCAUGGCGCGUGUGUGAAGAAGGUCUUCGGAGUGGAAAGCACUUUAAGGUGGGAGGAAGGGCAGUAAGUUAAUACCUCGCUGUUUUGACGUUACCAACAGAAUAAGCACCGGCUAACUUCGUG